UGGAGUAUCAGCAGCAGGAGGAUCAGGAUCAAUGAGUCUGAACCUCGGAAAGCUCCAGAAAACCGGUGAAAAAUUGGGUAUUUAUGUGACUCAGGAAGUAUCUGGCUUAUUUGGGAACACACCGCUUACUGCCUCUCACUUUCCUCCAUUUCCUCAGAUUGCAGCCUCUGUUUCUCCUUUUUAGUGGCGUGAGACCUGAUCCUUGGGUUAGACAAGAUCCGGACGGACUUUCCUCCUCUCAACGUGGUUUAUUUAUGAAAGCAUUGAGAGAAAAUGAAUGCUAGAGAUGAGUGAGAUGGGUGUGUGAUUCAUGUGCGAUAAAAAUUAUUAGAAUAGAAAAUUAUUAGCGAUCUAGUGGGUAGUGACUUUAUCUAGGGUCCAUAUAGUGAUCUUCCUGUGGUAGAAAUGAAUAGAAAAGGUUUUUGUGUUUAGAUUUAAAAUAGGAGAUAGUAAAGAAGCUCAUCCCUGAUUGGUUGAGGAAGACAGCGAAUGCCUGGGGUAGAAAUGAAUAGAAAAGAUGUUUGUGCUCUGCUUGGUUAAGGAUGCUGCCUGAUGUGGUUACUUCUCUGUGAGCGUGGGGGGUGGGGGUGGGAGGGAUGCUACUAACAUCUUUAUUUUUUCCAGAAUAGUUUCCUAGUUCUCCACAAGCAAGCAAGAAAAGUCAAUUUGUAAAAUAGCUGAUAGAGAAGUUUGCCCUGUCUUCCUAACGUUGCCCUGUUCCUGCCUUUUGUCUCCUUCCCUAAUAACUCUUGUUGUUGUUGUUGUUGUUAUUCUUAGGUUCAACUCUGUCAACUGCUCCCAGUUUUUACCUUUUCCCCACUAUCCUUGAGUCCACCUUCCUUCUCUUAUCAAACACCCACCUACCUUCUUCUUUGAUUCAACCUACCUACUCUGCCACCUACCUUUGAUUCAAUCUACCUACUCUGCCUAAUUUUUCUUGAUCUAUGUUCAGCCAUAAUCUCAACUCUGAAAAUUCAAGGAUUAGUCAAUUUAUGAAUGAAUGGAUGUAAGUUUGCCCCAUUUCCUUGACUUUGAAAGCCUGUCCCUGCCUUUUGUCUCCUUCCCUAACUGUUUUUUUUUUUUUUUUUGGUUAUUCUUAGGUUCAUCUCUCUCAACUGCUCCCAGUUUUUACCUUCCCCCCCAUCCCUGAGUCCUCCUUCCUUCUACAAUCAAACACCUCACCUAUCCUCCUCAAUUCAAUCUACCUACUCUGCCACCUACCUUUGAUUCAACCUACCUACUCUGCCACCUACCUUUGAUUCAACCUACCUACUCUGCCACCUACCUUUGAUUCAACCUACCUACUCUGCCACCUACCUUUGAUUCAACCUACCUACUCUGCCACCUACCUUUGAUUCAAUCUACCUACUCUGCCUAAUUUUUCUUGAUCUAUGUUCAGCCGUAAUCUCAACUCUGAAAAUUCAAGGAUUAGUCAAUUUAUGAAUGAAUGGAUGUAAGUUUGCCCCAUUUCCUUGACUUUGAAAGCCUGUCCCUGCCUUUUGUCUCCUUCCCUAACUGUUUUUUUUUUUUUUUGGUUAUUCUUAGGUUCAUCUCUCUCAACUGCUCCCAGUUUUUACCUUCCCCCCCAUCCCUGAGUCCUCCUUCCUUCUACAAUCAAACACCUCACCUAUCCUCUUCAAUUCAAUCUACCUACUCUGCCACCUACCUUUGAUUCAACCUACCUACUCUGCCACCUACCUUUGAUUCAACCUACCUACUCUGCCACCUACCUUUGAUUCAACCUACCUACUCUGCCACCUACCUUUGAUUCAACCUACCUACUCUGCCACCUACCUUUGAUUCAACCUACCUACUCUGCCACCUACCUUUGAUUCAACCUACCUACUCUGCCACCUACCUUUGAUUCAACCUACCUACUCUGCCACCUACCUUUGAUUCAACCUACCUACUCUGCCACCUACCUUUGAUUCAACCUACCUACUCUGCCACCUACCUUUGAUUCAACCUACCUACUCUGCCACCUACCUUUGAUUCAACCUACCUACUCUGCCACCUACCUUUGAUUCAACCUACCUACUCUGCCACCUACCUUUGAUUCAACCUACCUACUCUGCCACCUACCUUUGAUUCAACCUACCUACUCUGCCACCUACCUUUGAUUCAACCUACCUACUCUGCCACCUACCUUUGAUUCAACCUACCUACUCUGCCACCUACCUUUGAUUCAACCUACCUACUCUGCCACCUACCUUUGAUUCAACCUACCUACUCUGCCACCUACCUUUGAUUCAAUCUACCUACUCUGCCUAAUUUUUCUUGAUCUAUGUUCAACUGUAAUCUCAACUCUGAAAAUUCAAGGAUUAGUCAAUUUAUGAAUGAAUGGAUGUAAGUUUGCCCCAUUUCCUUGACUUUGGCCUGUCUCCUUCCCUAACUGUUUUUUUUGGUUAUUCUUAGGUUCAUCUCUCUCAACUGCUCCCAGUUUUUACCUUUUCCCCCACCAUCCCCGAGUCCUCCUUCCUUCUACAAUCAAACACCUCACCUAUCAUCCUCAAUUCAAUCUACCUACUCUGCCACCUACCUUUGAUUCAACCUACCUACUCGUGCCACCUACCUUUGAUUCAAUCUACCUACUUGCCACCUACCUUUGAUUCAAUCUACCUACUCUGCCUAAUUUUUCUUGAUCUAUGUUCAGCCAUAAUCUCAACUCUGAAAAUUCAAGGAUUAGUCAAUUUAUGAAUGAAUGGAUGUAAGUUUGCCCCAUUUCCUUGACUUUGGCCUGUCCCUGCCUUUUGUCUCCUUCCCUAACACUGUUUUUGUUGGUUAUUCUUAGGUUCAUUUCUCUCAACUGCUCCCAGUUUUUACCUUUUCCCCCACCAUCUCCGAGUCCUCCUUCCUUCUACAAUCAAACACCUCACCUAUCCUCCUCAAUUCAAUCUACCUACUCUGCUACCUACCUUUGAUUCAACCUACCUACUCUGCCACCUACCUUUGAUUCAAUCUACCUACUGUGCCACCUACCUUUGAUUCAACCUACCUACUCUGCCACCUACCUUUGAUUCAACCUACCUACUCUGCCACCUACCUUUGAUUCAAUCUACUAUUCUGCUUACUUUAAAAACACUAUAAUGCUACUCACCAAUAAUUUCUUGAUCAAUGUUCAGGUAUAAUCUCAACUAUGAAAAUUCAAGGAUUAGUCAAUUUAUGAAUGAUAAAUGUAAGUCUGUUCCAUUUCCCUAAUUUUGCCCUGUUCCCUGCCUUUUUGUCUCCUUAACUCUGUUUUUGUUUUUUGUUUUUUUUUUGGUUAUUCUUAGGGUCAUCUCAACUGCUCUCCUCUUUUCCCCCACCAUUCCUGUGUUCAUCUUCCUUCUACCAUCACCCACCUACCUUCUUCUUUGAUUCAGUCUACCUACUCUUUGAUUCAAUCUACCUACUCUGCCUAAUUUUUCUUGAUCAAUGUUCAGCUGUAAUCUCAACUAUGAAAAUUCAAGGAUUAAAGUCAAUUUGUGAAUGAAUGGAUGUAAGUUUGCUCCAUUUCCCUCACUUUGUCCUUUUGUCUCCUUUCCUAACUCUCUUCUGUUUUUUUUUUUUUUUUUGUUCUUAGGUUCAUCUCUCUCAAUUGGUCCCACCUUUUCCCCCACCACCCCUGAGUCUACCUUCCUUCUACCAUCAUAUACCCACCUACCUUCCUCUUUUUUUUCAGUCUACCUACUCUGCUUACUUUAAAAACACUAGGCUACUCACCAAUAAUUUCUUGAUCAAUGUUUAGCUGUCAUCUCAACUUUGAAAAUUCAAGGAUUAAAGUCAAUUUGUGAAUGAAUGAAUGUAAGUUUGCCCCAUUUCCCUGAGCCCUGUCCCUGCCUUUUGUCUCCUUCCCUAACUUUGUUUUUUUUUUUUUUUGUUUUUGUUUUGUUCUUAGGUUCAUCUCUCUCAGCUGCUCCCAGUUUGUUGUUACCUUUUCCCACCAUCCCUGAGUCCACCUUCUACCAUCAAACACCCACCUACCUUCUUCUUUGAUUCAAUCUACUUACUCUGCCUAAUUUAAAGAAUGCCACUCACCAAUAAUUUAUUGAUCAAUGUUCAGCUGUCAUCUCAACUAUGAAAAUUCAAGGAUUAACAUCAAAUUUGUGAAUGAGGAUGUUUGCCCCAUUUCCCUAACUUUGCCCUGUGUCCUGCCUUUUGUCUCCUUCCUUAACUCUCUUGUUUUUGUUUUUGUUUUGUUUUGUUUUGUUUUGGUUCUUAGGUUCAUCUCUCAACUCUCCCAGUUUUUUACCUUUUCCUCAACCAUCCCUGAGUCCACCUUCCUUUCUCAUCAAACACCCACCUACCUUCCUCUUGGAUCCAAUCUACCUUCUCUGCCACCUACCUUUGAUUCAAUCUACCUACUCUGCAGAAGGCCACUCACCAAUAAUUUCUUGAUCAAUGUUCAGCUGUAAUCUCAACUAUGAUAAUUCAAGGAUUAAAGUCAAUUUGUGAAUGAAUGGAUGUUCAUCUCUAACUGCUACCAGUUUUUACCUUCCCCCCCAUCAUCCCUGAGUCCACCUUCCUUCUAUCAUCAAACACCCACCUACCCUUCCUCUUUGAUUCAAUCUACCUACUCUGCCUAAUUUAAAAACUCUGGAAUACCACUCACCAAUAAUUUAUUGAUCAAGUUCAUCUGUAAUCUCAACUAUGAAAAUUCAAGGAUUAGUCAAUUUGUGAAUGAAUGGAUGGAUUCCAAGAUUUCUCCAAAGAUGAUAGUCUAGACACCAUUUAAAACCAAUAUAAAGUAUUUUUGACUAAGGACCAAGAGCAGUAAACAUAAAAGAUACUUUCCCAUGGAAUGCUUGCUCAUCAGUUGGAAGACCUUAUCAAGAUCAUCAAACUCCUUCUCCAGGUGUUGGCUGUUCCUCACAUAUCAAGAUGUUGCAUGUUCCUCUUUGUGAUAUUUUUGUAUAUAAUAAACAGUUUACAAAACCUU